GGAAGUUGUGGGCUUUUUAAGGGAUGGGAUGGUUUGGGGAUGUGAUAGUAGGGGAAGUUGUGGGUUUUUAAAGGAUGAACUGACUGGUUUGGGGAUGAGAGGUGAAUAAGUUGAGGAUGGGAUUGUUGUGGAUAAGUUGUAGUUGGGACAGUUGUGAUGGGGGAGGGUCUGGGAUGAAAAUUUGUGGUCACAUGUCAAUGUAUUGCCCCCAAAUAAUAUAUACAUGAAUGUGCAUGUUUUAUCGAGAUCACCUUGUGAAAUUCCUGGAUCCAUUGUUGUAAAGGAAUCAUAAAGCUUUGUAUCACUGCAACUUCCCUUGUGCUAAGAAAUUGGAAAGUAUGUUUGCUUUGAAUAGAACAGUUCACUUAAAAUGUCGAAUAUGGUAACAGUUUCAUGUGUUAGCAGACAACAUAUUCUCGGAUGUAAAGACUUAAACUUUCUCUUAUCUGAACUUUUGGUAAGAAAUCAAGAAGUACUUAGCCAAAACAUUUGCCAUCAGCUGCUUAUUCAGGGAUAUUUUUGUAUGAAGAAAAGGUUUACUGGUUUGGUAUAUGUGUAAGUAAAUGAAUGUAUAAUAGAAAAUAUAGAAAUCCUAUGUAUUAUGUAACCUUGUGAGUGAGAGGAAGGGUGGUAGAAGGGAUUAGUCGGGAGGAGGAGGAGGAUGGAGGACCACGGCAGGAGCUUGACACACAAGUGAACUAGCAAUCAUUUUGUGGAACAUUGAAACUGAAUAAGUUUGUUAAUUGUCACAUACAUUUUUAGUGCAAAAUAAUUUGAUAUUUAUCAUUGGCUGCUGACUAUUUUUAAACGAUGAUGUAUCCAGAGUACACACUUGGUUUUGAGGCCACCAUUUAUUCAGUAAACAUAUGAUGUUGACAACUUGGAGAAUUAAAGGUUGAUUCAAACCCCAUUUACAGUAUUGAGAUCUUAGUUGAAAAUCAAACUGCUUAUCUGUAUUAAAAUCUUUGUUAGGAAGAGGGCAUUAGUCUGAAGGUAGACAUUUUGAGAUUGAGGUUGAAUAGUUCAUGUAAUUAAACUUUGUGACCGCAGUAAGUCAGUGGAAAAUUGUGCUUAAGAACUGGUGUGUCAAGCUUCUUAAUUGGGAUCCUGGUGUGUCAAGCUUCUUACAUGGGAUCCUGGUGUGUAAAGCUUCUCACACAGGAUCCUGUUGGGUGAAGCUUCUUACACAGGAUCCUGUUGGGUCAAGCUUCUUACAUGGGAUCCUGGUGUGUCGAGCUUCUCACACAGGAUCCUGUUGGGUCAAGCUUCUUACAUGGGAUCCUGUUGGGUCAAGCUUCUUAAAGAUUAUUGCAGGGUGUCAAGCUUCUUGCACAAGAUCCUGUUUCAAGCUUCUUGCACAGGAUCCUAGGCAUGUCAAGCUUUUUGCACAGGAUCCUGGACAUGUCAAGCUUCUUGCACAGGAUCCUAGGCAUGUCAAGCUUCUUGCAGAGGAUCCUGGACAUGUCAAGCUUCUUGCACAGGAUAGUAGGCAUGUCAAGCUUCUUGCAGAGGAUCCUAGGCAUGUCAAGCUUCUUGCAGAGGAUCCUGGGCAUGUCAAGCUUCUUGCACAGGAUAGUAGGCAUGUCAAGCUUCUUGCACAGGGUCCUGGGCAUGUCAAGCUUCUUGCACAGGAUAAUAGGCAUGUCAAGCUUCUUGCACAUGAUCCUGCGCAUGUCAAGCUUCUCAGUCCAGAUGCUGGACGUGUCAAGCUUCUCAGACCAGAUCCUGGGUGUGUCUAAAGUCUUGCACAGGAUCCCAGGUGUGUCAAACUUUCUCCAGCAGCCCACUUGAUGGUGCCAAGGGGGAAAACAUACAAUGUUAUAAUGUGAUGAGUAAGUGUUCAAUAUUGUUUGUGUUGUUAACUUAUGACUUUAUUAUGAAAAAGAUGAUAUAAAAUAUGAAAAAAAGUCAAAUUCAUAAUACAAUUAUAAUAUAUAAAACAAAGCUCACAAACACCAAGUAUUCAUCUAUGAUGUUUUGAAGUUAUUGUGUUCAUUUUCAAUCUCUACUUGUGUACAUGUCCUUGAGAACUACCAUACAGAAGUCACAUUUUAUGUAGCUUAUUCAAAUGAGUUUAUAUAUUAUUAUUAUUAUAUAUAUAUAUUAACACAUGUUGUUGGUUUGUAUUUUAAUAAUACUAUAGUUGUGUUGUAGAAACAAAUUGUGUAAAAUACAUACAAACCAAAUGCAAAUAUGUUGAUUUUAAACAUUUGUACUGGUGGGAAUGAAUAUAUACAUAUAUGUCCUGUAUAUGUUUUUGAGCAGAAUAGUUUUAGAUUUUUAUCUUUUCUUUUCAUCAACAAUAAGUGUUUUUAUCAGUUAUACAUGUUUUAUCAGGUAUAUAUUUAAACCUGUUUGCUUGAAUUGACGCUAUGUUAAUCCACAAACUGAUAUGUAUGUCAAAUGUAAAUAAGAUUUUUAUUGUAGAAAAAGUCAUCCUUCAAUGUCUGAUUCAUCGUUGUAUACAGUCAUCUCAUGAUUACCCCCCUUGGCAAUUUCACAUGCUGAACUUACUCAAGGGGAGAUAACUCCAUCAACUUCACCAGUUUGUUUUUACAAGAUCUAUGUUGAUAUUUGGUCUCCAUGUAACUAGAGUUAUCUACCCUUACCAACUGCAACAUUCAAAGCAUAAUAGAUAACUGGUCUCAAUUAGAGCGCCAUCACUUGUACACAUCAACAUCAUGAGUUGAGUUUGUUUGUCAAAUAGGCAUGGUAGCAUGCUCUGAUAUUUGUGCUGAUGGAUGGAAGGCUGCGUUUGAAUGAGUGCUAUCACAGCUACACCAACACCACAUUCUUUAAUGGGAUGUCAUUCAUCUUUCCAAGGAGGAACAUACCAAAGAUGAAAGAUACCACGUUAUCCUUCAUGUAGCCAUGGUAACCACAAUAGAGGACAUCCCUGAUAAUUUUCGAUACACAUAAACAACACUUGGCCUUAAUAUUGGGAAAAGGUGAAACUAAUCUUGGACAAAGGGGUAAAAUUUAGUUAAAUGGCUUGCAGGAAAUACUGGAUCUUUCUUAGGAACAACUUUGUGGCAGUUUUGUUGUUGUGAAAUUUUAAUAAGAUGUCAUAAGUGUAUUACUGCUUAGCUUUACCAUCCAUCCUUUGUAAAACUUCUGUACCAUGUUGUAAACCUAGAGAGAAAUGGCCGCCUUAACAAAAGGAUGUAUUUUCACAUAGUUACUUUGCGAAGGAGUAAUUUGCCUAGUUCUGAUAUUCUAAAUGAACAUUUAAACUCUUGCACAUAUAUUUUUAUAUGAAUUCAUACUUCAUCAUACACCAAUUACCUUUGUAUUGAUUAAUAUUCACCUUCAUCAUCUUGCACGCAUUGGGCACCUGCGAUGCAGUAGAUGGAUUACCUCCCCUGGUUUCUGACAUUGGACUGCAGUAGGAUAUUUGCAAAAUUUGUUUCUUGAACAAAUCAAAGCGAUGUUCAGGUUAGUGAUGUAAGUGUACUUUUGUUCAUGAAUGGCUAACAUGUUGGACAUAGAGGAAGAAUAAUAUUCUGUUAAUGAAUCAAAAUCUGGUUACCAUUAGCUUUUGCAACCAUAUGACCAAAUUAGUGAGAUAAGUCAAUGUGACAUAGUAAUGGUGAAGGAAAAUAUUUGCAACAUUUUUAUGAAAAACGGAAAAAAUGUUUUAAACUGAUUUGAUUUAGUUAUUAGGGAAAUGCCAUCACAUUGCUGACAUUUUGUCUGAUAGACUUCAGAGCAUUAUGUAAUCCAGCAGUUUGAUGGUGCUGAAACAUGAUUCAGAAAUAGAAAUCCAUUUAUUUUAAGUUUCCAUCUGACCAUGGUGCUUCACUAUUGUGUAGAAUUGAAAACUUGCUACUUUUCUGAAGGUUCUGUGGAUAACAGGUAUGAAAAUUAUGGAACUGAUUUUGAUGGCUGAAAUUAUAUUUCAUUGGUGGUGCUAAAUAUGGAUCAUAUACCUGAUUACCCUCAGUCCAUGAUGGACUCUUCCAAUGUAUUAGUAGGGUAGUGCUGAUUUUGUUGAAAUUGGUAUUAGAAUUUUCAAAGGUUUUUGGUGGUAAUGUGAGAAGCUGUGUUUAUGUUUCUGCGUGUAGCGCAGUCUCAUGUGUCCAGGUGUCUGCAUGGCUGGUACACUGUGAGUUGGAACAAUUGUCCUGUGCAGUCAGUGUUCAUACAAUCUAUGCUUUAUACAUCUUGUUAUUACAUUUAUUAAUGUAAGUGAUUAGUUCUCAAUUAAAAGUGUCUCUUGUAAAUUAUAUACACACAGUAGGCUUGUUUUGUGUAUUGUUUGAUAUACAUAGAAACGUGAGGCAAUAAUAAAUGAAUUAUGUGAA